AAGUCGUAACAAGGUUUCCGUAGGUGAACCUGCGGAAGGAUCAUUAUCGAAUUUCGAGGAGGAAGAUGGAAAGUGGGGACUGUUGCUGGCAGAAGUUCUCUGCAUGUGCACGUCCUUGUUUUCUGUCAACCUUUCUCACACACACACACACACCUGUGCACCUAUUGUAGGUCUUCGAAAGAGGAUCUAUGUUUUUCCAUAUCACACCUAUCGUAUGUCUAUAGAAUGUAUCAAAGACUGUCGGCCAGGCUUGGUCCUGGUUGGCUGGUCAAAUAAACUAUACAACUUUCAGCAACGGAUCUCUUGGCUCUC
rnacentral:misc_RNA from 1 species